rnacentral:rRNA from 1 species
UGGGGAAUAUUGCACAAUGGGGGAAACCCUGAUGCAGCGACGCCGCGUGAAGGAAGAAGUAUUUCGGUAUGUAAACUUCUAUCAGCAGGGAAGAAAAUGACGGUACCUGACUAAGAAGCCCCGGCUAACUACGUGCCAGCAGCCGCGGUAAUACGUAGGGGGCAAGCGUUAUCCGGAUUUACUGGGUGUAAAGGGAGCGUAGACGGCACGGCAAGUCUGAUGUGAAAGCCCGGGGCUCAACUUCGGGACUGCAUUGGAAACUGUUGAGCUGGAGUGCAGGAGAGGUAAGCGGAAUUCCUAGUGUAGCGGUGAAAUGCGUAGAUAUUAGGAGGAACACCAGUGGCGAAGGCGGCUUACUGGACUGUAACUGACGUUGAGGCUCGAAAGCGUGGGGAGCAAACA